rnacentral:rRNA from 1 species
UACAUAGGGUGCAAGCGUUGUCCGGAAUUAUUGGGCGUAAAGAGCUCGUAGGCGGUCUGUCGCGUCGGCUGUGAAAACCCGAGGCUCAACCUCGGGCCUGCAGUCGAUACGGGCAAACUAGAGUACUGCAGGGGAGACUGGAAUUCCUGGUGUAGCGGUGAAAUGCGCAGAUAUCAGGAGGAACACCGGUGGCGAAGGCGGGUCUCUGGGCAGUAACUGACGCUGAGGAGCGAAAGCGUGGGGAGCGAACAGG